AAUUGGGAAAAGUACCCGUACCGGUCCGAUUGGGAAAAAUUGAGUCGUGAAAACCUCAAAAUUGGGAAAAAUCGAAUCGUGAAAUCCUGAAAUUGGGAAAAUCGCGUCGUGAAGUUUGGGUCUUAUUGAAUACAUCAUACAGUUCAUACUUAAUUGAACAUACCCAUUUAAAUAAUCAUUUGCAGGCAUGCCUUAAUGACCAUUAAGUUAUAAAGUUUAUAUAAAUAACAAAAUAUUAUAAAGAACACACCAAAUCAAUUACUAGUUGUUUUAAUCUCUUUUAAAGCAAUGUCUCUCUCUUUCAUUUUUGUGAAAAUUUCAACAAUCUGUGAUGUUUGAUCAUCACUCAGUUGCUUGCAUCCCUCCCUGCACAGGAUCAUUAGUGCUGUCAAUGUGUCCUGUGAUAGAUGGUUCCGAUUGGUUUUUUGGCAUAAUAUUUGCUAUUAUGACUCAUUUCAAACUACGAUAAGGUUACAAACCGACGUAAAACAGUACGCUGACUGCCUGGCAAAAGAACCGGAAACAGUAACAACUCUAUUGAUUGAAUGCGCUGAAUAAUAAAACCCGAAAUUAAUCGAGCGCGUGGUUACACACAACUAUACGAUUUUCUUUGUUCGCUCGCCGAAAGUUGUUUUUUUUUACGAAACUUUCGAUCGUUUUGAGAAAAAAUUCGGACGCUGAUUGGGAUUUUUCCAGAUGCCGAUUGGGAAUUUGGGAAUUUUCGCUCGAUUGGGAAAGUACCGUUUUGGGAAUUUGGGAAUUUUCGUUCGAUUGGGAAAGUACCGUUUAUCGGUACUUUAUAAAGAAGGAGGAAAAUCGCUGAUUACUGUUACAUUUAUUUAUAUUUACUAAAAGUAAAUAUAUGCUCACAUAUCAGUAAGUAUUGUACAGCCCUAAAUUAUAUUUAAUACACCCAUCUAGGCAGUUAAUUCAUAUAUGUGCUGGCUUUAAUUUACAUUCAUGUUAUUAUCACCCUGCAAUAGGCGGAGGGAUAUUGUUUUGGCCUUGUCCGCCUGUCUUUCCGUCCAUCCGGCACUUUUGUGUUGGGAGCCAUAUCUUGGAAGUGCUUUGGUGGAUUUCAUUGAAACUUGGUAUGAGUAUAUGUAUAGAUAAGAGGAUGAUGCAUGCCAAAUGGCAUUGUACACUAUCUGUUAAUAACGGAGUUAUGGCCCUUCGAACCUAAAAAAAUCCUUUUUUACCUGAGUGUCAAAUAUAACACUUUUGUGUCCAGAAGCUAAUUAGCGGGGGAUAUCAAUUCAAUGAAUUUGCUUGUUAUUAAUUGAAGGGAAAUAAACCUGUUAUUUUGUUUGUCAUUAUGGUGUUUAAAGUCACAUUUAAUGGCAUCCAACCUACUUUAUUUCAAAUACAGUAACACCUGGCGCCGUGACCUGGAUGCAGAUUCUAAGCAGAUGGGCCAAAAUGGUGGCAGCUAGAGAGACUCGCCUGGAACUGACAAGCCUGGAGGGAGCUGGUUGACUGUUGGCGAGAUGGGACAACAGACGAAGAAUAAACGAACCUACUUGAUUUGAUAAACACUUUUAUGUUUUUCAGUUUCAUCGGAAGACAUUUCCCACCAACCAUCCUGUCUUGAAAGAAAUAACUUUUGAACCCGAUUAUCUGAUAUUUUCCAGUUUCCCCUCACAACAAUUUGCAUCAAACCUCUUGUCUGUUUGGCAGACAAAACAUGCUGAUCAAAAAGAAUGUGUACCACAGGGGCCAGUGUUUCCAUUUGAGUGAUUGACAAGAAGAAGAAGAGAUGAGAAAUGUUAUCAUCAUAUUUUAGUCCCUACAUUUAUAGUGUACAGCUCAAUGUAUUGAACCGGUGUUGUAGAAUAUAAUUGGAGAUACAUGCAAACAUUAUAACAUUAUAUAUAAGAUGAUAUUUCAAAAGCAAUACGAAAUAAAAAGUAUAAAAAGGUCAAAACAGUGAACCUUGUGUUUACAGUGGACAGGUUUAAAGUGGAAGUGACUAGUUAACUGUUGAUCAUAAGCUGCACUGAUGGAAAAAAUAGUGGGAAAUUACUAUCUAGAAAACUGUUUAACGUACGACAACAGUUGUGGAACUUCAUAAAUUACCGUAUGUAACAGGGCUGGGCAGUUUUCCUUAUAUAGCUAUAGUGAAAACUUUUGAACACUAGUGAAGUCACUGUUUUUUUUCCAAUCUUCAUGCAUUUUGGUCGAAUAUUUGUUCAAAUGAUGGCUCAGUCCAGUUUCGAAAUUUGUAUGUCUAUUCAAAAAAACAUAUCCACUAGAGCACGAGGCAAUUGUCUUUAUAUGGCUAUAAUGAAACCUUGUAAAUUCUCUAGAAGUGACAUUUUUAGCCAUAUCUCCAUAAAUUUUGGUCAGAAUAUUUAUUCUAAUGAUAGCUCAGUUGUCGAGUUUGUAACUGGUUCCGGUUUGUAGACUAACAUGGCUGCCAGUGGACAUGACAGUUUUUCUUAAAGUGCUAGAGUAGAACCUUGUUAACACACAAUUGGCCCUUUUUAUGUGCAUUUUUCAUGAAAGAUGAUCAGAGCAUUUGGCCCAAUGUAAUCUCAGCUGACUUUGAAACUGGAUCACAUAACGUCAAAAAGUGGGUCAAAAUGUCAAAUUAAAAAAAGAUUGUAAACACUGGAAGUUGCAUUUAAAAUUGUGUUCCUUUUUUAUGUCCCCCACUAUAGUAGUGCGGGACAUAUUGUUUUUGCCCUGUCUGUUGGUUGGUCAGAGGUCAAAUAUAUGUGGCCCAAAUCGCUAAUUUUAUGAAUACUUUUUCUAUAUUGAAGAUAGCAACUUGAUAUUUGGCAUGCAUGUGUAUCUCAUGGAGCUGCACAUUUUUAGUGGUGAAAGGUCAAGGUCAUCCUUCAAGGUCAAAUAUAUGGGUCAAAAUUGAUCAUGUAAUGUCACUUCUGCAAUAUUGAAGCUAGCAAUUUUAUAUUUGAAAUGCAUGUGUAUCUCAUGGAGCUGCACAUUUUGAGUGGUGAAGGGUCAAGGUCAUCCUACAAGGUCAAACGUCAUAUAGGGGGACAUUGUGUUUCACAAACACAUCUUGUUUAAAGUUUGUCAAAACAUUGCUGUAAUAAUAAGCAAAGUCAAGUUUAUAAAUGAUUAUUUGCCUACAAAUUACAUAUUUUUCAUCAAGUUCAUUUAUUAUUCUAAACUACACCCUCUCAGAAUAGUUUAGUUACUUCUGGUCACAGUUGAGCACCUUAGGCCUCUUGUUCUAUAAUUUGAUUGUUUUGGAAAAUUGUCAUUUUGCCAAAAUGUGAGCAAGUCCAAAUUUAAUUAACCCUGCUUUGUAGUAUCUUGUUUUCCUUAUAUGUAUAAAGUGGAAAAUUAUCUAUGAAUCUGACUGCAUAGAUAUUUGGUAUUCAGCAAAGCAUCAUGUAAAUGUAGUAAAACUAAACACAAUUGUGUUAGCAUAAAACUGGCCAUGCCAUGGGGGUCAAAUGGUUAAUACAGACUUGUAGGAAAAAGACUUCUAAAAAUUUUAUCCGUUAAAUAUAUUUUGUGUACAUAAUGAUUAGCUUUUUCCUUCAACUUAUC